AACGCUAGCUACAGGCUUAACACAUGCAAGUCGAGGGGAAACGAUAUUGGAAGCUUGCUUCCGAUAGGCGUCGACCGGCGCACGGGUGAGUAACGCGUAUCCAACCUGCCCAUCACUUGGGGAUAACCUUGCGAAAGUAAGACUAAUACCCAAUGAUAUCUCUAGAAGACAUCUGAAAGAGAUUAAAGAUUUAUCGGUGAUGGAUGGGGAUGCGUCUGAUUAGCUUGUUGGCGGGGUAACGGCCCACCAAGGCAACGAUCAGUAGGGGUUCUGAGAGGAAGGUCCCCCACAUUGGAACUGAGACACGGUCCAAACUCCUACGGGAGGCAGCAGUGAGGAAUAUUGGUCAAUGGACGAGAGUCUGAACCAGCCAAGUAGCGUGCAGGAUGACGGCCCUAUGGGUUGUAAACUGCUUUUAUAAGGGAAUAAAGUGAGUCUCGUGAGACUUUUUGCAUGUACCUUAUGAAUAAGGACCGGCUAAUUCCGUGCCAGCAGCCGCGGUAAUACGGAAGGUCCGGGCGUUAUCCGGAUUUAUUGGGUUUAAAGGGAGCGUAGGCCGGAGAUUAAGCGUGUUGUGAAAUGUAGACGCUCAACAUCUGAAUUGCAGCGCGAACUGGCAGACUUGAGUGUGCGCAACGUAGGCGGAAUUCGUGGUGUAGCGGUGAAAUGCUUAGAUAUCACGAAGAACUCCGAUUG
rnacentral:rRNA from 1 species